UAGAGCUUGACAUAACUAGUAAAAUUAUAGACAUAGAAAUUCCCCUGACUACAACAAUUUAAUUUCCAUGACUUUAAGAUUUUAUUAGAAAACACACUUUUAAAAUUCGCUCAUGUAUCCAGGUUUUCCAAGAUUGUGGGAAGCCCCAGUCUUGAAUAAAAGUGACAGCUGUUUAGGGAAUUAAUUAAAAUAAUAAAUACAAUGUCAGAAGUACAAUGUCAUUUUUGCUUAAAAAUAUUUUGUCUUGUUUUGUCUUGAAUAUAUAUAUAUAUAUAUAUAUAUAUAUAUUCCUGCCACUGCUUUCUCAGAUGGGCUUGGACUGAACACUCUUGCAGACACUUGUUUUAAGUGCUGUUUCUGGAACUAGGACUGCUAAAAGAAAGAAGUGUAACUAUCAGUAAUGCACUCGAGUGCAAAAGUCUAUAGACUGUUCUCAGAUCAGAUGUGUGUUGAGCCAGUGUGGUUAACAAUAUACACUUCUCACACUGAACAACACGUUUCACACAAACGUGAAUAGCAACUCUAGCAGGAUUUCAACACACAGUCGGUCAGUCUAGAGGAAGUUCAGACACACAGGAGGAGCUGACAGUGUUUAGAGGAAGAACUGUAACUAUAUAACUAUAUAAAGAAGAGAAAGACUGAGAGAAACAGAAAAUGGCUGAUCAGUGUGAUCUGUGUCUGCUGGGACUGAUCAUUCUCUCUUCACUUCUCACAGGUACGAUUGGAGCAGAAGUGACUGAUGUGUUCAUCAGUUCUGGU